rnacentral:rRNA from 1 species
UACGAAGGGGGCUAGCGUUGUUCGGAAUUACUGGGCGUAAAGCGCGCGCAGGCGGCCAUUCAAGUCAGGGGUGAAAGCCCAGAGCUCAACUCUGGAACUGCCCUUGAAACUGUAUGACUUGAGUAUGAGAGAGGUGAGUGGAAUUCCCAGUGUAGAGGUGAAAUUCGUAGAUAUUGAGAAGAACACCGGUGGCGAAGGCGGCUCACUGGCUCAUUACUGACGCUCAGGCGCGACAGCGUGGGGAUCAAACAGG